UGGAUGAGACCUGAGUGCGAUUUCAACUUAUGGGAUUUUCAAAUGCUCUUCACUUUUCUAUGAUGCACUGCGUUUUCUGCAUAUUCUUUUAUGUGGAUUCUUACUGAGUUUGAUAACUACUUGAAAAUGCUUGGAGCAUUCUUUGCUUGAUUGAAAUGGAAUAAGUUAGAGCUCUUCCAUAGGGAGGGAUCUUCAGUUUUGUACAGGUUUAUGGGUAAUCUAAGGAAAUGAAUCAUACAUUCUUUUUCCUGAG
rnacentral:misc_RNA from 1 species